rnacentral:rRNA from 1 species
AGGGUUUGAUCCUGGCUCAGAUUGAACGCUGGCGGAAUGCUUUACACAUGCAAGUCGAACGAUGAAGCCUAGCUUGCUAGGUGAAUUAGUGGCGGACGGGUGAGUAAUAUAUCGGAACGUGUCCAUUAAUGGGGGAUAACUAAUCGAAAGGUUAGCUAAUACCGCAUACGCCCUGAGGGGGAAAGCUGGGGAUCUUCGGACCUAGCGUUAAUGGAGCGGCCGAUACCUGAUUAGCUAGUUGGUGGGGUAAAAGCCUACCAAGGCAACGAUCAGUAGCUGGUCUGAGAGGACGACCAGCCACACUGGGACUGAGACACGGCCCAGACUCCUACGGGAGGCAGCAGUGGGGAAUUUUGGACAAUGGGGGCAACCCUGAUCCAGCCAUUCCGCGUGAGUGAAGAAGGCCUUCGGGUUGUAAAGCUCUUUCGCAAGGGAAGAAACGAUAUAGGUUAAUAGCUUAUGUUAAUGACGGUACCUUGACAAGAAGCACCGGCUAACUACGUGCCAGCAGCCGCGGUAAUACGUAGGGUGCAAGCGUUAAUCGGAAUUACUGGGCGUAAAGCGUGCGCAGGCUGUUUUGUAAGUCAGAUGUGAAAUCCCCGAGCUCAACUUGGGAACUGCGUUUGAAACUACAAGACUAGAAUAGGUCAGAGGGGGGUAGAAUUCCAUGUGUAGCAGUGAAAUG